rnacentral:piRNA from 1 species
UGGAAGGACCCUGAGCUACUUUUCCUGC